GACGAACGCUGGCGGCGUGCUUAACACAUGCAAGUCGAGCGGAAAGGCCACUUCGGUGGUCCUUGAGCGGCGAACGGGUGAGUAACACGUGAGUAAUCUGCCCCUCACUUUGGGAUAGCCACCGGAAACGGUGAUUAAUAACGGUAAUGCCCAUAUGUCGCAUCGCGUGUGGUGGAAAGUUUUUCGGUGAUGGCUGUUCUCGCGGCCUAUCAGCCUGAUGGUGAGGUAAUGGCUCAACAUGGCUUCGACGGGUAGCCGGCCUGGGAGGGUGACCGGGCACACUGCGACUGAGGGACGGCCCAGACUGCUACGGGAGGCAACAGUGGGGAGUAUUGGACAAUGGGCGGAAGCCUGAUCCAGCAGCGCCGCGUUAGGAAUGACGGCCUGCGGGUUGAGAACCUCUUUCAGUACCGACGAAGCGGAAGUGACGGUAGGUACAGAAGAAGCACCGGCCAACUACGUG
rnacentral:rRNA from 1 species